rnacentral:rRNA from 1 species
UACCGCGGUUAUACGAGAGGCCCAAGUUGACAAGCUCCGGCGUAAAGCGUGGUUAAGGGAUGACAAACACUAAAGCCGAACGCUUACUAAGCUGUUAUACGCUUCCGAAAGUAAGAAGCACGUCCACGAAGGUGGCUUUACCCUACCUGAACCCACGAAAGCUAAGGCA